ensembl:lincRNA
CUGAGAUGCCGCCCAGAUCUGACAUUGUGGAAUUCCAGAAUUCAUUGUCCAGCCAAGCCAGUGACCUCAUUGUGAACAACAGAGGAAAAUGGAGUUGUUUAGAAUUCAUGGGCAGGUGGAGCGGGUGGGGAUCCUUCUAAUGAAUCUGAGUGGGGCUUGGAGCAAGCUGUUCCUCCAAACCUUUGGUGAGGGCUGACAGAGGUCUACCACUCCUCUGGCAGCGCCACAGAGACAUCUGGAAUACACUUACCAGAGGGCAUCAGGCUUCGCAUCUGACGCUUCCACCAUCCAAACACUGAAAAAGAUAACACUUGCCCAAGAGGUGGACACGCCUGGAACGAUGCUCCAUAUUUCAGCUGUGCUGCUCUUAGCAGUUUCUGUCUGAGAGAACACCAUCUUCUGCUGCUUCACAAGCCUUGUCCACAUGUUUUCCUCCCUGUGGGAUGUGGUCCUUGAGAGGACCUGCGCAGACCUUGAAUGUGCAAUGCUGAACUGCCUCUGUGCCUCACGACUUUGAAAGCUAUGUAAUCAGGGAGUCUGUGGCAGAGCAACCAAGGUGAAAGUUGGGACACUUGGGCUCCAGUUCUGGUUUUGCCCCUACCUGGUUGUGCAGCCUUGAGUUAAGUUACUUCAAAUGUUUGGUCCUCAAUGUUCCCACAAAGCAGCAUCUCUUCAUCAUCUGUUCCUGCUCUGGCCCAUCUUAACUCCAAGUCUUAAAGACAGCAGCCCCAGUUGCAGAACAGGGUUCUACUACCCGGUUGGUUGUCAACAACCUGCUCAUCAGUCUUCAAGAUUCGGUGCUGUGCAGCCUCACCAUCUUGUGUGUGCUUCCAGGUUUCACAGAAUGGUUUUCUUCGGUGCUUAGAGAAAAUUCAAAGACUGGAAAGAUCCUGGAGGCACAAGGAGAAGGCAGAGAUGCAGAAAGAAGAAAGCUGAAAGGCUGAGUCUGAAAGCAUGAAGAAGAGGUGAGACAUGGGAGUUUUCAUUGCUCCAGAGUUGGGGUUGGGAAGGUAGGGUCAAAUGAUGGAAAUAGCAACAGGAAACUGGGAGACGGUGGGAUAAAGAAGGUUCAGGAGGACCCUGCUUGGAGAGUCUAAGACUCGAGGUUGAGGAGGAAGAACUCAUCACGCAAGCUGUGAGAACCACUGAGGAUUUCAGACCAGAAGAGUGAUCCGAUUACUGUUUCACUUUAGAUCAGAAAGAUAGUCAUGCUGGGAACAAUCAGUCAAUUUGAAGAUGGGAGGUGAGGUUAGGAGUUACGGAAGUAAUAUGAGAGUGGCUCUCACAACCAUCAAACUGCUAAUUUAGAUGUAUUCUCCCUUCACAGUACAGCACUCAGAUCAAGCAUACUUCCAUCCAUAUAAACUACUGAAAAAGUGCUCUGCUGAAGUUACCAUCACCAUUUGCAAUCUGCCCGUUACUUCCUAUCUGUGUUAUUGUAGCUCAUUUAUAACUGGGUAGGUGUCACCUGGGGAACUGACUUCAUGAUCCAGGCCCACAAGGAGUCCUGACCCUUCCUUUCACGUGUGGAAAAUGCUGAUCUUGAGCUGCGGUUUCCAGAAUGUGUUACAGGCCCCCGAGGAGCACAAAAGACAAUUUACUAAAAUGAAGGGCAAACUUUGUUCAGUGACAGUAUCUUAGCCCAUGACGUGUAUCUGAGGUGUGAUUAUUGCUAAUUAAAAUAAAGAGUAAAAUAACAGAACAGCUAUUUGCAUUGUUUCUCUUUCAUUCUGAUAAAAUGCUUAUUUUUGUGUAUGCUUUAAAAGAUCUACUACUAUAGUGGUCUAUAUUGAUGCUGGUGUACUACACAUGCACACAUCGCAGAGGUUUGCUAACAAAUUUUUAUGGAUAAGGAUGGAUCUUCAGGAAAGUUUGGCAACUACGAUGGGGGUACCUCAAAUAAUUCAGUUUAAUAAUGAAACAACAAACCUCAAUAUUCCCUUAAUGGAUUUCUCUGAAAUAUUGUAAUUCAAAUCUUUGUCUUUCCGCAUGGUCGUCUGUAGCCCGAAGCGCGUUCUGCAGUGAAGUCACGGUGCAUCCGCAUGGAAGUUCCUCUGGCUUGGCCUGCGGAGAACAGUGUCCCCUCCCCGGGUGCUGGGGCCAUCACUGCUGCUCCCUGUCUUGGCAAGGCAGAGCCCCUCUUGGGGUCUCAGUUUAUUCCUUAAAGUUAGCUGCUUUUCCUCAUAUUUCUUUUCAUUCACUUAGAUUUUAUUAUAAAUCUAUGAAUAUUUAGAAACUCUUUAAUUUUUUUGGACCCUCAGUUAACUUCAACAGGAAAAUGCUGGAGGUUUUAAAAUUCAUCUGGGACCUGCCUGCACUCCCCCUUUGGCUCUGUUCGCCGUGAAAGCAUUUGAGGGUUUAUCUUUCUAUCAGGAAGCUUUAGAAGCACAACCCCUACCUAAUCA